rnacentral:rRNA from 1 species
AGAACUUAGCAGAGAUGCUUUGGUGCCUUCGGGAACUCUGAGACAGGUGCUGCAUGGCUGUCGUCAGCUCGUGUUGUGAAAUGUUGGGUUAAGUCCCGCAACGAGCGCAACCCUUAUCCUUUGUUGCCAGCGGCUCGGCCGGGAACUCAAAGGAGACUGCCGGUGAUAAACCGGAGGAAGGUGGGGAUGACGUCAAGUCAUCAUGGCCCUUACGGCCAGGGCUACACACGUGCUACAAUGGCGCAUACAAAGAGAAGCGACCUCGCGAGAGCAAGCGGACCUCACAAAGUGCGUCGUAGUCCGGAUUGGAGUCUGCAACUCGACUCCAUGAAGUCGGAAUCGCUAGUAAUCGUAGAUCAGAAUGCUACGGUGAAUACGUUCCCGAGCCUUGUACACACCGCCCGUCACACCAUGGGAGUGGGUUGCAAAAGAAGUAGGUAGCUUAACCUUCGGGAGGGCGCUUACCACUUUGUGAUUCAUGACUGGGGUGAAGUCGUAACAAGGUAAGCGUAGCGAG